GACGAACGCUGGCGGCGUGCCUAACACAUGCAAGUCAACUUGAGGGAAGGAGCAAUCUGACCUGAUGGUGGCGCAAGGGUGCGUAACGCGUAAGUAACUUGCCCAAGGUAAGGAAUAACGUCGAGAAAUCGGCGCUAAUACCUCAUAAUGCAGCGGAUCCGCAUGGAUGUGUUGUUAAAGGUUUACCGCCUUGGGAUAGGCUUGCGUCUGAUUAGCUAGUUGGUGUGGUAAUGGCACACCAAGGCUACGAUCAGUAACUGGUCUGAGAGGAUGAUCAGUCACACUGGAACUGAGACACGGUCCAGACUCCUACGGGAGGCAGCAGUGAGGAAU
rnacentral:rRNA from 1 species